CGUAGGGGGCUAGCGUUGUCCGGAUUUAUUGGGCGUAAAGAGCGUGUAGGCGGCCGGGUAAGUCCGGUGUGAAAACUCGAGGCUUAACCUCGAGAUGUCAUCGGAAACUAUUCGGCUAGAGUCCGGAAGAGGAGAGUGGAAUUCCUGGUGUAGCGGUGAAAUGCGCAGAUAUCAGGAAGAACACCCAUGGCGAAAGCAGCUCUCUGGGACGGUACUGACGCUGAGACGCGAAAGCGUGGGGAGCGAACAGGAUUAGAUACCCUAGGUAGUCCACGCCGUAAACGAUGGGUGCUAGGUGUGGGCGGUGUCGACUCCGUCCGUGCCGAAGCUAACGCAUUAAGCACCCCGCCUGGGGAGUACGGCCGCAAGGCUA
rnacentral:rRNA from 1 species